GAUGAAGAACGCAGCGAAAUGCGAUACGUAAUGUGAAUUGCAGAAUUCAGUGAAUCAUCGAAUCUUUGAACGCACAUUGCGCCCGCCAGUAUUCUGGCGGGCAUGCCUGUUCGAGCGUCAUUUCAACCCUCAAGCACAGCUUGGUGUUGGGACUCGCGUUAAUUCGCGUUCCCCAAAUUGAUUGGCGGUCACGUCGAGCUUCCAUAGCGUAGUAGUAAAACCCUCGUUACUGGUAAUCGUCGCGGCCACGCCGUUAAACCCCAACUUCUGAAUGUUGACCUCGGAUCAGGUAGGAAUACCCGCUGAACUUAAGCAUAUCAAUAAGCGGAGGA
rnacentral:misc_RNA from 1 species